UACGUAGGGACCGAGCGUUGUCCGGAAUCAUUGGGCGUAAAGAGCGUGUAGGCGGCCACUUAAGUCCUGCGUGAAAUCUUGCGGCUCAACCGCCAAGCGGUCGUGGGAAACUGGGUGGCUAGAGUGCGGGAGAGGAGAGUGGGAAUUCCUGGUGUAGCGGUGGAAUGCGCAGAUAUCAGGAAGAACACCCGUGGCGAAGGCGGCUCUCUGGAACGCAACUGACGCUGAGACGCGAAAGCGUGGGGAGCAAACAGG
rnacentral:rRNA from 1 species